rnacentral:rRNA from 1 species
UACGUAGGGCGCAAGCAUUGUCCGGAAUUAUUGGGCGUAAAGAGCUCGUAGGCGGCUUGUCACGUCGGGUGUGAAAGCCCGGGGCUUAACCCCGGGUCUGCAUUCGAUACGGGCAGGCUAGAGUUCGGUAGGGGAGAUCGGAAUUCCUGGUGUAGCGGUGAAAUGCGCAGAUAUCAGGAGGAACACCGGUGGCGAAGGCGGAUCUCUGGGCCGAUACUGACGCUGAGGAGCGAAAGCGUGGGGAGCGAACAGG